AGGACGAACGCUGGCGGCGUGCUUAACACAUGCAAGGUCGAACGGGGAUUAAUUUGGAAAGGGCUUCGGCCCGGAAGGAUUAAUUCGAGUGGCGGACGGGUGAGUAACGCGUGAGCAACCUGUCCCAGACAGGGGGAUAACACUUGGAAACAGGUGCUAAUACCGCAUAAGACCACGGGGUCGCAUGGCUCUGGGGUAAAAGGUGCAAACCGGUUUGGGGUGGGCUCGCGUCCGAUUAGAUAGUUGGUGAGGUAACGGCCCACCAAGUCGACGAUCGGUAGCCGACCUGAGAGGGUGAUCGGCCACAUUGGAACUGAGAGACGGUCCAAACUCCUACGGGAGGCAGCAGUGGGGAAUAUUGGGCAAUGGGCGAAAGCCUGACCCAGCAACGCCGCGUGAGCGAAGAAGGCCUUCGGGUUGUAAAGCUCUGUUAUAGGGGACGAAGGAAGUGACGGUACCCUAUAAGGAAGCCCCGGCUAACUACGUGCCAGCCGCCGC
rnacentral:rRNA from 1 species